rnacentral:rRNA from 1 species
UACAGAGGGUGCAAGCGUUAUUCGGAAUUACUGGGCGUAAAGCGUGCGUAGUCGGUUAUCUAAGUCGGGUGUGAAAUCCCCGGGCUCAACCUGGGAAUUGCAUUCGAUACUGGAUAGCUAGAGUUCGGCAGAGGGAAGCGGAAUUUCCGGUGUAGCGGUGAAAUGCGUAGAUAUCGGAAGGAACACCAGUGGCGAAAGCGGCUUCCUGGACCAGAACUGACGAUCAGGCACGAAAGCGUGGGGAGCAAACAGG